rnacentral:tRNA from 1 species
GGCGGAGAGCACAAGAACUUACUGC